UACGGAGGGUGCAAGCGUUAUCCGGAUUUACUGGGUUUAAAGGGUGCGUAGGUGGGUCUGUAAGUCAGUGGUGAAAUCUCCGGGCUUAACUCGGAAACUGCCAUUGAUACUAUAGAUCUUGAAUUAUCUGAAGGUGAGCGGAAUAUGUCAUGUAGCGGUGAAAUGCUUAGAUAUGACAUAGAACACCAAUUGCGAAGGCAGCUCACUACGGAUACAUUGACACUGAGGCACGAAAGCGUGGGGAUCAAACAGG
rnacentral:rRNA from 1 species